rnacentral:rRNA from 1 species
AUUGAACGCUGGCGGCAUGCCUUACACAUGCAAGUCGAACGGCAGCACGGGGGCAACCCUGGUGGCGAGUGGCGAACGGGUGAGUAAUGCAUCGGAACGUGCCCGGAAGUGGGGGAUAACGUAGCGAAAGUUACGCUAAUACCGCAUAUUCUGUGAGCAGGAAAGCAGGGGAUCGCAAGACCUUGCGCUUUCGGAGCGGCCGAUGUCGGAUUAGCUAGUUGGUGGGGUAAAGGCUUACCAAGGCGACGAUCCGUAGCUGGUCUUAGAGGAUGAUCAGCCACACUGGGACUGAGACACGGCCCAGACUCCUACGGGAGGCAGCAGUGGGGAAUUUUGGACAAUGGGGGCAACCCUGAUCCAGCCAUGCCGCGUGAGUGAAGAAGGCCUUCGGGUUGUAAAGCUCUUUCGGACAGAAAGAAAUCGCAUCGGCUAAUACUCGAUGUGGAUGACGGUACUGUCAUAAGAAGCACCGGCUAACUACGUGCCAGCAGCCGCCGUAACAC